UACGACCUCCCCCUCACGUCUCCUCCACCUUCCCCACCGCCUGCCGCUCUUCCUCAUUCUCACCUAAUGGGAGCAAGAACAGUGCCCGAAAAAGGGCGCCCAAGGAUGAUGAGAGCAGGAACCUCUGCACGGGAGAUGGAGUCUGCAGCGCGUGCCCCUGCGGCAGCGGACCGUGCACAGGUGCCGUCUUCUUCCCGCAUAUGCGGUCGCCUCGUCAUGCCCCGGCGACUUCCUCCGGCCGCACGGCCGCAUCGGACCCAGCGUCUCCAGGGUGAGAGGAUUCCAGACUUCUGGUGGGGAGGAAGAACGCUGGGCCGCUGAUGGAGCCGCUUCCAAAUCAUGUCAUGAUGCCGAUGAGGCAUGGCAUUGUUUCUUCUGCCGGGUGACGGCAGCAUGACCUGAAGAUACGUAACUCAGGCAAUCUCUAUUGGUCUUGCUGGAUACACUCACGUAAAUAUCAUAUGCUAAUAAGUAUUUUAAUCUGUUAAGCAAUUCUUAUUUGGGUUUCCCUUUACUCUGAUGUGUGCUGAAUGGUAACUACUAAAGCAUGUUGGGUUUUCCCUUUACUCCAGGCUGGCCACUCGGCGGUGAGCGAGCACGCUACCUGUUGUGGUGGCGGGGAAUGAUGAACACUGCCGGCAGUCAUGGGGGCUCACCUUUUCCGUAACCAUCUAGGUUCUCCACUCUCUGAUCUGACUCCUCUCUCCAUCUCUCUGCAGGAACACGGACGGUUUACAGGGGAUCGACCCGGUGAUCAAGAAGGCGGCCAAUAUGAACCUUCUUCAAGUUUGGUGAUUUCCCCACCUAAAAAAUUAGCUUUAUUAAGGGUGUGCCAGCUAAUUUGUACAAAAAUGUACACCUGGGCAAAACACUUGUUAAUUUGUGCCUCAAAACAUAUUGAGAUAUACUAGGAGGUACUGUUGGUUGUAUCGUGGUCUAUAAUAAAUGACGUGAAAUACUAGAGGUACUACUAGAUCAUUGGCUUUAGAUCUGUCAUGGUUUGCUAAAGAAUGCUCUUUUUUGGUAUUGUUUAUUGCUUCAAAAUUUGCAAUCAAUAUCAGUGUUUGUUAAUACUGAGCUGAAGCUUUCUGCUUGCAGAACUUGGAUAGAGGAUAUUAUUCAGAAGUAAGUUUGGCCUAGAAAAGAUCUGGAUAGAUCAAAGAAAUACAUAUGAAGAUGUCGCAGGUUACACAAUUUUCUGGUGCUAUUACUAUAUUUCCUUAAUAGCCUGAUAUUAGUAAGUGGUUAUUUUCCAGCUUGGAUAUUAGUAGCCCGACAAAGAAUAUAUACUGGUUUUUUGUUUUGUGUAUUCAUGCUUAAUAAUAUUUAGUGGCAUGAUUAAUACUAUUUCCUAUCUUUUCAAGUUUUAUGUGUUCAUGCUUAGUGAUAUUCAGUAACAUGAGGCUACAGGUCUGUUAGAUGACAUACUUCGCAAUAGUAGAACAAUCGUUGUGUGCAAUUCAUGGUUAACAAAGGCGCGCCUAGGUGCUAGGCAACAGCGAAUUGCCUACCGCUUUCAUGCGUUGUCAACUUUUUCUUAGAGGAUGGUAGCUGUGGUGCUUCAGUGGUCAAGUAGUAAGGAAAAUAAAUUAGUUGGCAAUUUUCCUGGAUUAUGUCAUACUUUAGUCCAGGAUUCAUGGAUUACAAAUACAAAUAUUUAACCACUGUUGCUUCUCGUUGUAUAAGGUUGUCUUGUUGGCUGAACUAUCAGCUACUACCAUCACAUGCAUAGUGAAGUUACUGCUAGCCAAGUUAGUUAUAGUACAGAUAAUAACUGAAUAGUGAUGUCAUCAAUCUCCCUAGACUGAGCUUUGUUAGCCACUCCCAACUUACUCAUUACAUCCAGCUUAACUCGAUGGGCACAACGGAGGCCGAAGAAAAUCAAAGAUUUUUCCAAGUUGAUUUUCUGACCUAAACAUUGACAAUAGGAGUUUCCUUAAGUGCCUCGACACUUCUCGAUUCACUCCGUGCAAAGAAGAUGCUAUCUUCUUUGAAGAGCAGAUGGGAGAUAGGUGGGUCUGUGCGAACGUUACGAACUCCUUGUGCAAUCCCCAUAGGCUCCUUGAGAAAUAGCAAAUUUGACAGACCUUCAAUACAUAGCAGGAAAAUGGAGGGACUAAUAGUAUCCUGGCCUCGUUGAAUCCCUCGAGAAGGAACAAUUGGUGAGGUGAGUUCUCCAUUCACAACUGGUGAGGUGAGUUCUCCAUUCACCACAAGGGGAGCAUAUGCCUGGGUUGUUAGCACGUAGCAGCCGUCUCAUAUCUAAUACAUGUAUGGGACGUACUGGUGAAAAUACAUGGGACACAAAGGCCAUCAUAGAUUUCUAAGUUCUUUCUUGUUCAUGAUGCUCGCGCUUCUGCUGCUACAUCUGUUCCGAAGAUUACAUUUUCCUCCAACCUACGACUAAUUAUAAAUAUGGCGGCAAGUUGCAGAAUUUCCAAAAACAAUUUUAGUCCACGCCUUGAUUGUAAAUUAUUGAUACCGACUUGUGUUGUUUAUGUUAGGUUCAUAACUCAUGUGUUACAAACCUGCUCUUGGCCAUAGAGUUCAUGCACUUUUUUUCUAGAUUUCUCUCAAUCAAAAUUAAUCACAUUUUCUUAGAUUUCUCUUUUUGUUUCUUGUGUAUAGGUGACAGAUGUAGAAUUCAGUAUGGCCAGAGAGAAGUUCUUGCUAAAAAAAAGGUCUCUACAUGUGGAAGUGUUUACCCCUCUAUGUGUUUGUGUUUGGCUAAAAUGCGUAAUUUUUCUAUGUACAUGUAUGUAUUCCUAUUUUACACAUAGUAAGCUAAAAUUUUGGAGCUAGGCUGCAAUGGUGGAUGCAUUUCAUUGCUUUUACCUAUUUCUUUGACACCACAUUAGAGCAACUUCAUUUCGUUACUAUACAAAUAUUGUAACUUUGAUUUAUGAAAUUUUGGAAGUGGCUGACAUUUCUUA